rnacentral:rRNA from 1 species
AGCGAACGCUGGCGGCAGGCUUAACACAUGCAAGUCGAACGGGCAUCUUCGGAUGUCAGUGGCAGACGGGUGAGUAACACGUGGGAACGUACCCUUCGGUUCGGAAUCACUCAGGGAGACUUGAGCUAAUACCGGAUACGCCCUUUUGGGGAAAGGUUUACUGCCGCAGGAUCGGCCCGCGUCUGAUUUGCUUGCUGGUGGGGUAACGGCCUACCAAGGCGACGAUCAGUAGCUGGUCUGAGAGGAUGAUCAGCCACACUGGGACUGAGACACGGCCCAGACUCCUACGGGAGGCAGCAGUGGGGAAUAUUGGACAAUGGGCGCAAGCCUGAUCCAGCCAUGCCGCGUGAGUGAUGAAGGCCUUAGGGUUGUAAAGCUCUUUUGUCCGGGACGAUAAUGACGGUACCGGAAGAAUAAGCCCCGGCGAACUUCGU